rnacentral:lncRNA from 1 species
UGUGUUAGACCGGCAGGGCCGGAUAUCAAAUGGACCGGGAUUAAUCAGUCGGACUCUUCAUCUGGACGAAAACGCAGGGUCUUUGGCAGCCUACAGUAUAUCGGAAGAGUAAUUGAAGUUCAACUCUGGAACAAUUAUACUGUUGAUUGAAAAAUUUAUUGCUGUUGUCAUGUUUAUAUUAUAUAUAACUGAUUUACAUUUUGUGCAAAACACGAGCUUCAUUCUUUAUGGAAAAAAAUAUAAAAUACUGAAUACAAGCUAAACAAACAAUGUUUUCUUCUGCAUCUGAAUAUAAACUUUGGUCCAAACUGAGCCAAUGAACUUAUUCAUACAACAACGUUAUCAUUCUAAGCUUCAUUCGCAUCGACAUCGAGCAUAACCAGCUCUGCAGAUAAGUAAUGUUAAUUAAAGUACCACCACUUAAGAGCGCAAAAAAAAAAGGCAACAAUUUAUCAGAUGAUGCACGCAAUAAAGGAUUCAUCCCAACAAAACUUGGAAUUCAGGCAACUUUCCCAUGUUUUUCCGUACAUUCAGAAGACACCACUAAGUAGUUCUUUCUAAAGCGUCUUCUUCCAUGAAGUGAAUUCCAGAGGGAG